GUCCAGCCUGAGAGCAGUGAGUCUCGGGGACAGCCUUCAGAUAGAGGCAAAUGCCCAGUGAGCAUAAAGAUGGAGUCUGAGGAGGGUGAAAAAGGGCUGUAAGCAACAGGGCAAGGCUUGAGGUUAUACAGAUUAAAUUCCCACCCUAUCUUUUUCUAUUUGAGUAGCCAGUAAUCCCUGGAUGAGCCUCACAGCAGACUCUGUUUGCUCUGUGCUCUAUCAAUGUUUAUCUCAUUUGCAGCAGAAAAAGCAAUCCCGGGAAACAGGAAAUUCACUCGGAGGAGAAACGCUGCAGUGCCCUCACUCAUGAGCUUUGGAGGGCAAAUCUGCCUCCGGGUUUCAGCAGACUAUUCUUCAGCCACCUUCCAUUCAUCGUUAGGAACAACAGCUAAAUAACUCCUAGCCUGUUUCAUAACAGGGAUACUAGCCUAAGAGGCCACAAAGUUGCAUUUUCUUCACAUUACUGCAUCAAGUAAGAAAUCUAAAGGCAGCAACUACUAUGCAAACACUGCAGCUAAUGGCACACAUGCAAACAAGCUCUUUCUGGUGAAAGAUCUGGGAGAUCUCGAGCCCUGUGCAAGCACCUAGUGCCUUUGGAGGAGAGGCCAGAUGGACAAAUAGCAAGUAGGCACUUGCAAGUGUCAGGUGCAGUCUCAGGCUCUGCCACAGGCUUGCCUUGAGUCUUUGGACAAACCUCUUCACUUUCUAGUUUAGUAUUUUUCAUCUGCUGAAACACGUAAAGCAGCUUACCUGUUUUAUUGGAGUGGGGAAACUUGAUCAGCUCCUAUUUUAAGGGGAACUUGGAACAGUUGAUGCUUAACUUUGUUAAAAAGCUAUCAAAGACGAA